UUGCUUCAGUAGCACAUAUACCCAAAUGAUAAUGAUACAGAGAAGAUCAGCAUGGUACUUGUGCAAGGAUGACACGUACAUUCAUCAAGUUUUCCACAUUUUG